CCCUGUCCAGCCAUAGAUACAUCAUUUACAGACUGGGAAAAAUACGACAACACUAUGUUUUCUCGAUGGAUGGUGCUUACUGUUUUGGUUGUUUUGGGAGGUCUUGUCGUACAGCCACUACAUAGCAAUGCCUCACCGCCGCCGCCUACAAGGACAACUGUUGCUUACACAACCACCCCAGGCUGUGACCCUGCGGACGAAUCCACUUACUAUGACGAGGUUUCCGGGUGUCGUGCUGGAUGCACGUGUAUGGGCGAUGAACUGAUAUGCUGGGAUUCCGAAGAAUGCUUCCACCGAUAAUAGGAGAUAUACACCUGAAAAGAAUAAAUAUGGAAUGUCAACGGCACCCUCUCCGUGCACUGCGUGUCCAGAAAUGCAUGCUUCCCUUGAAGAGAAUAUGCCUAAAGAUUUGUCUCUCGCAACAGAUUUCAAGUAAUAAAAAGUAGCAAAAGCUU